rnacentral:rRNA from 1 species
GAUGAACGCUGGCGGCGUGCCUAAUACAUGCAAGUCGAGCGAACGGACGAGAAGCUUGCUUCUCUGAUGUUAGCGGCGGACGGGUGAGUAACACGUGGAUAACCUACCUAUAAGACUGGGAUAACUUCGGGAAACCGGAGCUAAUACCGGAUAAUAUUUUGAACCGCAUGGUUCAAAAGUGAAAGACGGUCUUGCUGUCACUUAUAGAUGGAUCCGCGCUGCAUUAGCUAGUUGGUAAGGUAACGGCUUACCAAGGCAACGAUGCAUAGCCGACCUGAGAGGGUGAUCGGCCACACUGGAACCGAGACACGGUCCAGACUCCUACGGGAGGCAGCAGUAGGGAAUCUUCCGCAAUGGGCGAAAGCCUGACGGAGCAACGCCGCGUGAGUGAUGAAGGUCUUCGGAUCGUAAAACUCUGUUAUUAGGGAAGAACAUAUGUGUAAGUAACUGUGCACAUCUUGACGGUACCUAAUCAGAAAGCCACGGCUAACUACGUG